AAACAUGGCUCUUUGAACGUCACACAUAAAGAGUCGGACCUGCCCAGUGAUGUAAUACAUUUAACGGCCGCAGUACCCUGACUGUGCAAAGGUAGCAUAAUCAUUUGCCCUAUAAUUAAGGGCUAGUAUGAAUGGUUUGACAAGAACAUGACUGUCUCUUGUGGGAUAAUUAAAAAUUAAAUUUUAGGUGAAGAUGCCUAAAUAUAACUAAAAGACGAGAAGACCCUGUUGAGCUUUAAAAACUCUAAGGAAAUCUAAAAGGUUUUUUUGGUUGGGGCGACCUAAGAACAUAUAAAGCUUCUUUUAUUAUUUGAGACAUUUAGUUAUGAUCCAAUAAAAUUGAUUAAUAAAAUAAGCUACCACAGGGAUAACAGCGUAAUUCUCUCUGAAAGUUCAUAUUAAAGGGUGAGUUUGCGACCUCGAUGUUGGACUAAAAUAUCCUAAAGGUGCAGAUGCCUUUAAGGGUUGGUCUGUUCGACCAUUAAAAUUUUA
rnacentral:rRNA from 1 species